CCGCCUGGCGCUGCUGGCCGCCAAGGAGGACAUCGGCAGCCGGCGCGUCUCGGCCGACUGGGCCAUCUUUGCAUAUGGGAAGCACAAUGAGCUGAAGCUCCUGGACUCGGGAGCCGGCGGGGUAGACGAGCUGUCCGGGAAGUUCUCCAGUAGCAGCGUCAUGUACG